rnacentral:ncRNA from 2 species
CCAAGUAGCUUCUUGUGCUCUAGAUUGGUGUUUUUCAUAGUGUGGAGUCAAGAAGUUGCUUUAGGGAUC